CAAGUCGAGCGCACCUUCGGGUGAGCGGCGGACGGGUUAGUAACGCGUGGGAACGUGCCCUUCUCUAAGGAAUAGCCACUGGAAACGGUGAGUAAUACCUUAUACGCCCUUCGGGGGAAAGAUUUAUCGGAGAAGGAUCGGCCCGCGUUAGAUUAGAUAGUUGGUGGGGUAAUGGCCUACCAAGUCUACGAUCUAUAGCUGGUUUUAGAGGAUGAUCAGCAACACUGGGACUGAGACACGGCCCAG
rnacentral:rRNA from 1 species